rnacentral:rRNA from 1 species
UACGUAGGGUGCAAGCGUUAAUCGGAAUUACUGGGCGUAAAGCGUGCGCAGGCGGUGAUGUAAGACAGAUGUCGAAAUCCCCGGGCUCAACCUGGGAACUGCAUUUGUGACUGCAUCGCUAGAGUGUGUCAGAGGGGGGUAGAAUUCCACGUGUAGCAGUGAAAUGCGUAGAGAUGCGGAGGAACACCGAUGGCGAAGGCAGCCCCCUGGGCCGACAUUGACGCUCAGGCACGAAAGCGUGGGGAGCAAACAGG